rnacentral:rRNA from 1 species
UACGUAGGGGCCUAGCGUUGUCCGGAAUUAUUGGGCGUAAAGAGCUCGUAGGUGGUUCGGUAAGUCACGUGUGAAAUCUCCACGCUUAACGUGGAGGCGCCACGUGAAACUGCUGUGAUUUGAGUCCGGUAGGGGAGUGUGGAAUUCCCGGUGUAGCGGUGAAAUGCGCAGAUAUCGGGAGGAACACCAGUAGCGAAGGCGGCACUCUGGGCCGGUACUGACACUGAGGAGCGAAAGCGUGGGGAGCGAACAGG